AGGGAAAUUCGAAGUGUCUUAUACCCGGGAACCAGGUCAGGCGCGGAAGCGAGCAGCCCGACUGGGGAUGCUGUAUGCCUUGGAAUCGCGGAGUU
rnacentral:SRP_RNA from 1 species